UACGUAGGGUGCGAGCGUUGUCCGGAAUUAUUGGGCGUAAAGGGCUCGUAGGCGGUUUGUCACGUCGGGAGUGAAAACUCGGGGCUUAACUCCGAGCCUGCUUCCGAUACGGGCUGACUAGAGGUAUGCAGGGGAGAACGGAAUUCCUGGUGUAGCGGUGAAAUGCGCAGAUAUCAGGAGGAACACCGGUGGCGAAGGCGGAUCUCUGGGCCUUACCUGACGCUGAGGAGCGAAAGCAUGGGGAGCAAACAGG
rnacentral:rRNA from 1 species